rnacentral:lncRNA from 1 species
UAAAACUAUGAUUUUGAAUUCCGGAAUUACUUACAUUAACAAAAUAUGAUAGAAAUAGACAUUUGCUUUAGAAUGAGCUAAAUACUGAAUUUUUAUAUACACAGUAAGAUUUGGUAGCAGUUUAAAUAUUUUCAGAAAACUGAAUCCAAGACUCUUUAUUUAUGUUUACUGCAAUGCAAGGAGAGAGUCUUAAGUCAACUAUUAAUAUAUCUGUGCUAUAUUUUCCUCUAAGGAUUUGGGAACAGAAUUAUGCUGUUCUCAUGAAAACAAUAUUUGUCCAGCCCUUACAGAGGGUUGCAAUGCACUCUAUUACUUUUAAAACAAAAAUAUCACUCAGUUUAGAUUUAAAAUGUAAUGCUUUUCUCUUUUCUUUUCUUUUCCCCCCCUUUUUUUUUUCUUUUUUUUUUUCCUUUAUCUUUCAGCCCAAGAACUUGCCAGUCAAGAUGAAAAACUUCUUCUAAUGGAAUCCAGCUUGAAAGCAACUCAAGAGCAGCUAAGUGAGCAAACAGCAGAAACAGUUCACCAAGAACAGAACAGUAGAAAAUCACAGACAGAGCUGAAAGAAGAUCCUGAGAGAACGUAUUAUAGCUUCUGAUGAAGAAAUUAGUGAUUACAAGUGAGUAACUGCUUUUAUAGUAUUUGAUAAACAGAAGACAUUAAAGACAGCAGCAAAUUCUUUUAAUAAGUAUUAUGUUAACCAUUUAUUUCUGGCAAGAUGUAGUGUAAAUAUGUUCUAUAGCUACUGAAUAAACUAUUAAAUCUAAAAGAUUGAUUAAUGUGUACUUUAAAAUAUAUUUUGCACUUAAAAUUAAAAAAAAAUACUUUUGUUAGUGGUCUAUUUUACUUUUGGAAUGAAAAAGAGAAAAAGAUUCUAUGGUGUUGAAGUAGAAUAAUAUUUGUUACUUCUAUCUUAAUAUUAUUCUCAUCUUCCUAUUUUUAGCAACUGAAGUUUAAAUAUGCAUUUUAUUUUCUUUAUUUUUUUUAGAAGCUGUCUCUAAGCAAGAUGCUGCCAAAUAAAAGGAAAUUUAGUGUUUGAACUUUUAGUCACAACAGUAAGGCACAUAUGAGAUUGCAUACUAUACUUGAGAAAAGUUUAAACAGAAAAAUGUACCUCUAUUCUCAGAAAAAAAAAAAAUAGUAUCUAUAAGUUUAUAAGUUUAAAUGUUAGCUCUGAAGAUUUUAAUUAAAAAAUACUAAUCUUCAACAAAUAACUUUUAUAAAUUAUAAUGACUUUAAAUGUAUUUUUAUAUUGAGACACAAAAUGAUACAUUAUUCAGAUUUUUCAAGAUCUACAGUAUGGUAGAAAUGAUUCACUACUGCUUCUUUUUGCCUUAUUGUAUGCAAACUGUUACAUAUGUUAUAUUAAAAAAUUGUUAAAUGUAGAGACAGAAACUCAAGCUGUUUUAUAAUAUCAUAGAGUGCAGGUGAAUGCUUUAUAAAGAGAGCAUGACUGAAAUAAAGUUUAUUCAUUCAGUGGUAGGUUGAACAUUUAAAGAGAAAUGUUUUAUCUCAGAUUUGUACCAAGCAUCAAGGACUGUCUCUACAAAUCUCCUCUGAGAGAAGCUUUGCUAGGUUUAGAUGCAAUAAACAUAAUGUUUCAAAAUCACAAUAUGACAAUGUUAUAAUUUGUAUGCUCAGUGUAAAUAGCUUCUAGACUGGAACUUCACUCUGUAUUCAAAAGUUUAAAGCCAAUUUUUCUGCUGAAGACUGGGAAAAUCUCUAUGGGAAGAAAAAAACGCACAAGAACAAAAACAUUGUCUACAGUAAUAUGUCUUCAUUUCUUUAAAUAAAAUAGCUUGGUGGUUUUCAACUUCUAGUUAUACCUCUAAAGACCUUACUACUACUUCUCUAGGGACAGUAGUGUCACUGAUUUGCUUUCCUAACCUAUCUUGACUCCUUUGCUACAGUAAGCUUUCUUAACCAUUUCAAGUGAUUCUUCAGUUGCCAAAAUGCCAUGUUAUGCAAAUUCCUGUAGAUAUUUACUUCAAAAUUAAAAGGUUAAAAUCUUCUAGGAGUACUGGCUGUAAGUUUGUGUGAUACAGUGAUAGAAAUGGUAGGGGAUGUGGGAGGAUUGAAACCUCCAGCUGUAUCUGAUCAAAUGUGUGAUGAAAUACAACACUUGAUAGAGCAGGAAUUUUGCAAAAGUGAAAUGAGUUUCUCUGUUCUUCAAAUAGAAAGACAAAUGAUAAACACUACAAGACUUUGAGACACAUUUCUUUCUUUUUUUUUUUUUUUAUGAUUUCAUAGUAUACAUUUUGUGAAUAAAUAAAAACUUGGAUGAAUCUGUUAACAUACAAAAAUUCACUAAGCCACCUUUUUUUCUGUUUAUAUUUGAUUUUCUUUUUCUGCUCUAUUUUUCUAUUUCUGUUUUCACCAAACUAAUAUGUUUGUUGGCUUUGGAAGUUUGUUAAUUUAGUACAUGAGCAUAAUGUAUUUUGAGUUAGGGGAGUCUUCAGGUUACAGCUCUAUAGAUUGUCAAGAUUAUUUUUAUAGGCUCUUAGGUUAAUUUUUAUGUUUAAGUUUAUGACACUUGUUUUUUAAAAGUACUGUGAUAUUACUGCACGAUUAUAGAGAAGUAUUUGUUGAAUUAGGAAAAUUAACGCUGUAAAUUUAAAAUUUUAAUAAAGUUGAAAUUAUAAAGAUAAAAACUAAGAAACAAAAUUGAACAUUUUAGAUAUUAAAUUCCCCCUUAAAGAUAACAUUUUACUGAAUACCUGAAAACAAACAUGUUGUGCCAGACAGUAUCUGCUGUGCUCUGUUCCUUGAGAGGCAGAAAGAACAAUGGAUCUCUUUCCCCAUGGGUGUUUGGGGACAGGGAAUGUCGUAAAGGUUAUGUUCAUUUACUAUGAAGGGCACAGCACGUGUUGUAAAGUAACAUCCCUUUGGUGCUGACUUAUUCGAAGUCACAUAGUCCUGGACUUUACCUACCACCCUACUUAGUGAUUCUGGCAAAUGCAGAUGGUAUCAAGGUGAGAGCUUAGGACCUUACAAAGAAAAAUGCAGUGAAGCAUAAAUUGGUGGAUUUAAACUACCGAGAGAGUUAAGAUUCUGCUAUAGCUGUUGUGACGCCUAUAAGGAGAAAAGUCCAUUUUUGUAUGCUUUUAUUUCCUUGUAAUGUAAAUGUACAUUAAAGGAUAUUUCUCCUGGAAGUGGUGUAAAAGGAAAGUACUGAAGAGCAUUUAAAAAACAAUAAAACUAGCAUUAUUUGUGCUAGUUUACAAAAAUAUUUUUUUAUAAAAUAGAAUAAAAAUAUUUUACUAACUGUACUGGAUUCUCAAAAUGCAUGUAUUCCAGGUAUAACCAAAAUUUGUAAGUAGUCACAAGCUAUGUUUGCUAUAUACUUAUUCUGGAUGAAAUAAACCUAAAGUUACACACACUCCCCCCCAGCCUCCAAUAUAAGCCUGUUACACUUGAAAGAUUUGUUCGGAAUGUCCAGUGGGAACCUGGAAAUCGUAAUAAUUUGUAGUAUCGAUUGUGUGAAGCUAUGCAGCUGGGGCCUCUAGUGAAUAGACAGGAAUAGACAUUUUAUUGAUUAACUUUUACAGUCAUAUUUUCAAGACUCUGCUGCAACAUAAUUUUCACUUCCCAGCUUUGUGCUGCUGCAUCAUGAAACUUGAAUUCUUCUCUCUUAACAUUUACCCACCUGAGGGAAACAGUAUGGAGUUGUCUCUUUUAAGCUGCGCUCUGCAGAAAUGCAUAACACUUGACACAGUGAAUUCUUCAAAAUUUACCCUCCGCUGUUGCAAUAAAAUGAAAAAUAUUAAGAAGUGAUAUUAGUAUCACCCAAGUUGAACUGCCCACUCCAUAUGUUAGACGCCAUUGUUUCAUACUUCCUAGUAAUUUUAUCCACCUUUUUUUUUAUUUUUAUUUUCUAAGGGGCUAAGAUUGUGGCAAAAAAAAUUGCCACCCUCCUCACACCACAGAUUCCAGCAGUGCUUAAUGGAGUUUGUCUCAUAAUUAAAUAGGUGAUUUUAUUAGUUACUGGAGAAGAAUAAGUGCUUCCCUGAAAAUGUGAACUAUGAAUUAAAAAAUACUCAUUUUUAAGAGUGACAGCCUGUGUCAAAUAAAAUUCCUUGUAAAAGUACAGAAAGGGCAGUUUUUCAUUAUAAUUAUCAAUCUAUCAUUUAACAAUGUAAAAAUAUGUACCAAAAUAGUAAACAGACUAGUCUUAGAAAGCAUUAUUUCACAUUUCUGAAGUUAUUCGUUUUCAGAAAAGAAAAAAAAAAGGGGGGGGGGGGGCAUUUUGCCAUUUUGUAAAGAACUGUUGCAUAUUUUCUGAUUUUUUCCCAGUAUGAUUUGCAUUCUAAAUCAGAUGCCCAAGCCACUAUUCUUUCAUGCUGAUAAAAUUGCUGGUAAAAAUCUCAAUCUAUCAUUUUUUUUUUCAUCUAAUGACUGUUUCUUUGUUGUUGUUGUUGUUGUUAUUUUACAUGGUAACUUUUACUUGAAUGCUGUUUGCAAUGUAAGUUUGAUAACAGCUUUCACAAAAUAGGACAAAUAUUCACAUACAUUGCCACUGGUGCUAAUAUGAUUUAGACUUCUGUCAUUCUAUUAUUUUUCCUAGAGAUAUUUUAUUACUAGUGUCUUCUAAGUAUCUAAAUGUUUAAGAUAUUUGUGGUCAUGUUUCCUUUUGUCCUCCCGCUCAUCAGAUACAUCUCAGUGUGCACUGUAUGGAGACACCAAAGCAGAAAUACUCGCAUAGAUGACAGAAUGUUCAUCUUGUUUGCAGUUGUCUAAACUCUUACAGAAAAAAUCCUGAUUUCUCUUAAAAAAGCAGAAAACUGUGUGGAGAACUUUAAGGUAAGAAUAAAAGGAUCAAAGAAAGUUGGAGAACAGGUGCUACUCAAGGCCUCAGUAUCCACUGGACCUGAAAUAACCUUGAAACAGAAUCAUUCUCGAUCAGAUGAAUAACGAGAAAAUUUGUUAAGAGUGCAUAGAAUUAUAUUUUUCUAAUGGACAAACUUCAUUGUACAGCAAUAUGAGAAAAGAAAUAUCACAUCCUCAUGACUUACUAGACCUCAGUCUUUCAAACAUAUACAGAUGUCAGCAGUUUCAUGAAGCCAAUUACUCUAUAACCAUGUGAAAAACUGUUCAUGAGUUUGCAAGAUUUAAGAUGAAGAUUGUUUUAAUAUUAAGGAUUACUCAGUAUUUUAUUUAGUAGUUGCAAUGCUUUAUUAUAGAAGUUAUGUUGUAAAUCAUGAUGAUUGUAGAAAAUAAAUGAAACAACUGAUCAUUUUACUUCAGAUUCAUUUAACACAAAUCCAAAUGAAUGUGAUUUGUGCAUGUGAGAAUGCAUGUGCAUGCUCUUGUGGUUUAGUUAAAGAAGGAAGAAGUCAUGUUCCCUCUUCUGAAUGUUUGUAGAGAUGUUUAAGUGAGAACAAAGUAGUAAGUUAGUAAGAUUUUUAUGUUCUCAGUAGAUAACUACCAUAGUAGUCAGACCACUGUGAACAGCAUGUUAGCUUCAUUGCUCAAUUUCAUGUUUAUUUUUCUAUUUUUUUUUCUAUUUGGAAAUAUGCAUGAUGAGGCUUCUUGUAGUUAUAAAACAAACAAACAAACAAAAAAACCUUUUUAUCGUGAAUUAAAGCAAUGAAAAUUUAUAAGAAAUUAGAAAAAAAUAAUUGAAAUAAUUAAGAUAUUUAUCUAUAUUAAAUAAGUUAGAUAUCAUAUAUAGCAAAAUGUUUUUCAGGAAGUGCAAUUGCAGAAAUUCACAACUAGUUUUAUUUCUUGCAUUUGACCCGAGAAGUCUGAUUUAAUUGUAGAAAAAAUAAAGGCCAGAUAGCUCCAUUACUUUACCUGUUUCACCUUAAAAAAAAAAAAAAAAAAAAAAAAGGAAUAUCUGAACCAUUUUAAUUGACUUAUAUUGUUUAGUGGGAUUUUAAUGCAUAAGACAUAAAUCAUAAACAUAGAAGUAUAAAAGUAUAGCUAAGAAAUGAAAUGUACAUGAACUCUUUGCUUUUUUAAAAGUACUGCAGAAUUGAAGACUUGAAGUGAAAAUUUAUGUUUAUUGAAUUUCAUAGUACCUCUGACACAAACACAUAAAUAAAUUACUGAAAUAAUAGUAAUAAUAUAGCAGAUGACCAUCCUAGAGUAGAAUAUGAUCCUACACAUUUAUGUCUUCCUAGGCAGUAUAGUUACUACUGGGAAAAAUUGAAUUGAUUGCAACGGAAAUAUACCUGACAGUAAGCAUUUACAGUGGCAGGCAAAAUUAUUUAAGAAAAGAGAAUAUAAAAUUAAGAAAGACAGAUGGAGUCAUAAGAGUGAAAUACAAAUAGUCUGAAUCAGGAUUGAUUUCAACAUAAUGUGGUGGAGGAAUCCCCAUUUAUUGAUCAACUUUAAAGCCUAUGCACAGCACUUAAAAAGAUAAAGUAAGCAAGGUCAGAUAAUCAAAGCAUUUAAAUAGUAAAAACAGCAACUGCCACUGUAGACUGCUAAAAUAAAUCCAUAAUACAAAUUGCUUUAGCAAAAAGUGGAUGAGUAGCUGAUCUUCCUAUUGAACUUUAUACUGUUCAGUGACCACACUGGGAAAAGGAUUGGGAGAAAUGCCUUGAAGAUCAAUAUUGAGUGAGAUGUAGCAGGGAUUCAUUCUGAACAUGAAAGAAUUACAAGUAUGAGAGUAGAGAUCUUGAAGAAAUGUCAUCAAGAAGGGACUAUUCUUUUAAAAAUAUCACACAUAUUACAAAAAAGUGACAUUAGUUGAUAUUCUAUCAUGAUCUCAGAACACUGAAAUCUUAUUAAAUCAACUAUUAUUACAAAACAUGAAAAUAACAAAAAGAAAGUGAAUAAUAUUACUAAAAAUACUUUGAAAAAAUCAGUAAAUUUUGUCUUAAAAAAAAGAUUUUAAAAUAUAUUAAUUUAUUAAUUAAACUGGCACGUGCAUAUGCAAUUAACACAUUUAAGUAUUAUUAUUUCCUUUUUUUUUUUUUCUAAAUAACAUUUUAGUAGAUAUUUUUAUUGCAUUAUAGAAACUGGAAGGAUCUAUUGCAAAUGCUCCAAAUUUCAAUUCAACCUAAGCCUUUACAGGCUUUUCAUUAAAAUAAAUAAAUAGAUAGAGAGAUAGAUAUGUGCUAUCACUUUCAGUUCUACAUAACUUUCAUCCAGCACUGUUUGAGACGUAUUUAUGAGGAAAAAAUCCUAGAUGUAGCAGUACUACAGUAGCUCAUUGUCUUAUAUCUAUUGAAUCAAUUGACACUUGUAUUAUAUUAUCUCAUGAGAAGUGCUGAAUUUUCAUGUACUGUUGCCCCUUAUAAAUAUAGAAUACUAGGUUUUUGUUUGUUUGUUUGUUUCAUUUCUGGUCAAUCAUCUUACUAAUAAAAAAGUAUUCUUGCCAGAAAGUUAUUACUAUCAGUGUUUGAAAAUACAGGGCUGCUCUGAAAGUAAUGCUUUUGUUUUUUUUAUGUUGGCCAACAACAUCAGACACAAAUGUGGGAGGUAUGACAGUAGAUGUUGAACUUUCCCACCAAUAUUCUGUUACGUUUUGUUGCCCUGUGACAGAUGGCAACAGAGCGGGCAGUCUGUCAACAUGACACGUGACCUGGAAGUGCAUAUGAAGUAAAUGUAUGUCAUUGAAUUCCUCCAUGUGGAAAAAAUGGCACCCACUGACAUUCACUGGCACUUGCUGAAUGUUUCUCGAGACCCAACAGUGAAUGUGAGCACAGUCAGGUGGUGGGUGGUGUUUUUCAGCAAUGGUGACAGUGUGUCACUUCCUCUGGUGCAGAUUUUUAUGAGCACAGCAUGCAGGCUAUAGUUCAUUGCAGACAAAAAUGCAUAGUUCAUCACGGUAACUAUCUUGUAAAAUAAUGUUUUGUAGCUGAGAAUUUGCUGUAUCAAGUAGUGAUCAAAUAUCAAGUAGUGUUGUUGUACUCUAUGUAUUUCUUGUAGUUUCCAUGGAAAUAGAUACAAAGAAUUAUUUUUUUAGUGACCUAGGUAUUUGUAUUUGAAACAAUAAUACACACACACACACAAUUUCGAGUAUUUCAGAAAUAUAUAUAUAAAGUAGAUAUAGUAUUCAUAUUUUCUAUGAACACCCAGUUCAGCAAAAUAUAGUAGAAAACUGAGUCCCAAAAGCAUAAAGUUUCUUCACUAUUGUAAACCUAUAGUAUACCUUCUUGUAAUGAAUAAUUAUUUACAACUAGUAUUGGUUCCAUAUUUACAGUAGGAAUUGCUGAUUACAGCAAUUUCAAUAGCAAAUUUGUGAAACAAUAUUCACAGUUGUUAGAGAAAGGUCAGCUUCUUUGCAUUCAUUAGGAACUUGGAGGACCAUUCACCGUAUUUUUCCUUUGGGGUGCUUAUAGUUAUUGAUUUGUACAUAUCUAUAGGAAAAAUUAAUUACAAUUAUUUUUCAUUUACCACUGGAGGCUGUGUAAUAAUAAUUGUAAUAACAAAGUUCAGCACAAAAAGAGGAAAAAAAAAAAGAAAAAAGAAAAAAAAGAAGAAACAGCAAAUUAAAUAGCAAUAAUUUUAAAAAAUUAAUAUUGUUAGAUUUAACUUGUUUAAAAUAAUAUCUUCUGAAUUGCCUGAGGAAAUCUCUUAUAUAACUUCCAUUAAUAGUCACAAUGUUUUUAUUUUAAUGGAAGUGCGUAGGGCACUUACAGUGAUGUGAUAUAAGGUAUUCACAACUUUUCUCCCUAUGAGUGAUCUGUAAAGAUGCUUAUAAACUCAGAAAACAUUUAAUCACAUGCUUAAUUUUCCUUACAUAGGGAACUUAAAUCAUGUAACCAGUAUAGUUAUUAACUUCAAAAUGUGAUUUAAGUGAAAGAAUAAUCCUGGCAUAAUAAAUUAAAUUAUUUGCAUGCUUACAUUUUUACUCUAGUUCUUAAGGGUCUUUCAAGAACAAGAGCUAUAUAAAACCGAAUGGAAACAUUAUAGUCAUUGUCUCCUAACUCCUUAGGUCUGAAAAAUGUGAGUAAUGCCUCCAGAAAAGCUUAAAUGGGAAUCACGCCAAGAAUGUGGGACCAGGAAAGUCAAAUUGUCAGACUGAGACAAAACUUUGUGGAAAUGGAAGAAGAAGUAAAGAACUUAAGACUUACACACAGCAAUGAUGCUCAGAUGAUUGAUAAGAAUCUGAAUACUCUGAGAAAUGAGAUGAACUUGUAUGAAGACACAUAGGAUGGUAGUCAAAUGAGCUGAAGUUUAAAUAUGAACAACACAAUGCAACACUGAGGCCUGCAUGACUGUAAGAAUGUUAGGUAAGACCCCUUAGUUACUUUUAGACAACUGUUUCUCUGGAAUGUUUCUUUAAUAGAUAUUAAGUCCUUGAAGAGAAAUAGAUUUCUGUAGCUUUGUUUUGCCACUUCAUUUUCAAAUACUAAAUUGAAAAACUGUGUAGAAAGGGAAAUAAUAUCAUAGUAAUUUUAUCAUAAAAGAUACUCAUCAUUUUUUUAAUUAAAAAUAUUCUCUUGUGCAGCUAAUGUUUAGGUGAAGAAAAUGGUGUAGAAUUUUUCAAUACUGAAGUGUAUGAUUUCAAGUCUUGUUUUCAUCCUGUGCAAAGUCAAAUAACUUGUGGACAAAGAAUACAUAAUUUUCCAAAUCUGUGAACUGAAAAUAGAAUGACAGCAGCACGUUUUCUUGAAAACUAAAAAAGAAGAAGAAAUAAUAAAACAAAGAUUUUAUUUUAUUUAACCAUAAGUACUUAUGGAAAACAAAAACAAACAAACAAACAAAAAUGGAUAUUGCAAAUGCAGAUGGUGCACAUUGAUACUCAUAAUUACUAAAUACACUUUCCGUAUCUCAUAACACAUUAAUAUACAAUAUAAAAAGAGCUGGAAUAGUUAUAGUCAUUUUCUUUUUACUGCUAAAAAAUUGAAUUUAUGUCAGUUAGUGUAUUGAAAGCUCUGAAGUGUCACUAAAAAGUGAAGUUUAUAAUUAUUCGGACCUACUAUCAGAAAUUCCUUAAGAUUGUUACAGCUCUUACAAUAAAUAUUUGUCUGCCCCGUAUUUGUAAAAACAUACAAUAUUGGAACAACAACAACAACAAAAAGUUAAGUAUUGUUUUGAACUGGGAAACACUAAGUUGUGAUAGAUUUGCAGUAAUACUCUUGAAAAUAUAAUUUAAAUUCACACUUAUAUUUGUGAUAAAAAAUGCUUCAUGGCAUUUUGUAACACUUCUAUAGGGCAUCACUAUUACCUCGGUUUGUAUUGAGACACUGUUGCUGUUUGAAAAGUUAAUCAUGCAGUACUGCUCCAUUCCCCUGGGAGAAAGGUGCUGGGGAAGGAAAAAAUCCAAUUGAGGUAGCAGAAAUUAAUUUAUUAAAAGGAAUGUGAGAUAAUAGAGAAUAAAUAAGAGUAAUAAAUCAAAACAAACCAAAAAUAAAACUGGAGGAGAGAGAGAGAGUCCAUCCAAAUCUUUAUCAGCAGGCCCUCCACUGUUUGCUUCCUGUAAAAGACAAGAGAGUUCUUCCCUUGUAACCCAGAAUUGGAACCAUGUGGAGGCUGCUGGAAAAUUCAGUACAUCCCAGUGCAUCUUUGCCUGGGGGAGUCAGAACUCACAUGAGAUUGCUAGAGAUAAACAGGAAACACAUCUCCGCAGUGCACUGUGCACUCUGCGUCCAACAGCCUGUUGCAUGAUAUUACGAUAUGGAAUAUUGAUAUAACCAGAACAGAGAUACAGUUGCAAUAUUUAAUAACUUAUAAUAUUGGACAAAAUAAAAAAGCUGCAAUUAAAAAAAAAAAAAAAAAAGGCCUGAAUAAUAGUUGUGAUAAUAAUUUAGUUUUUAUUAUAGCAGUUUACAGUCAGAGAUUUCAUAUUUUCAGAAGAUGUGCAAUUAUUGUUAUUUUUAAUACUAUGAUUUUACUUGUGUGUAAUAUGAUUUUACAUUUAUAUAUGUACUUUGAGGUAUAAAAUUGAUUUUUUUUUUUUUUUUUGGAUCACAGGAUAGAAAAUUGUCUUUGGUAGCAGCAAAGAUUAAAAAAAUAGUAUCACUUAAAUAAAUACAUGUGAAGAAGCCAAAUUUGUAACAAAAAGGAAACCAGUAAAUGAAUUCACAAAAGCCAGCUACUACAUAGCAAAUCUCUGUAUAAAUGGGCUGAGAGUAUGUACCAAGAAGAAGGCAAGUAUCUAUUCUUUUUCAAUGGGAAAAACAAAAAACAAAAAACAAACAAACAAAAAAGCUAUUUCAUCCUUACUUUGGGAAAAAGGCACACAAAACCAAAGCAAAAAAUGCCUCACUGACUGCAUCUGUCCAUUCUGUACUGUAAUUUGUUUCCCGCUAUGAAGAUUUAGGUUAAAUUCAUUUCUAUUAUUAAAGACAAAUAAGCUGCAAAAGAACUAAUUCUCUGUCUCCAUCUUUUACAUGUAUAUUUAUUCAUAUGAAUGCACUUUUGUUCAUUUAUUUUUACUUCUACCUUGACAAAGCUGUGCAAAAAAUAACAUAGUUUGAUUACUCAUAAUUUGCAUUUGUGUAAUUAAUAGGGAUGAAAAGGAUUAAAAUCAAUGGAGAAAUAUUUAUUUGUUUAAAUUGGAUAACUAUGGAAAAACUAUUUGGCAGGAAUGAAAGCUUUUCCAUCUAAAUUACGUCAUAUAAUUUAAACUGUUUUAGUUUUUAAGCUUAAAAAGCAUGAAAAUCACAAAGCAGAACUGGAAGAAGACACAGAAAAAUACUGCCAUGUAAAGGAAGAGCCUUCAGAACAAGGGUCUCAGCUCAAAAUUAGCUAGCUGGUCCAUUCUGGAGUGGGAAAACUGAUAAAAUGCCGCAGUACUCAGGUAAUACCCUUGAUACAAUAUGUGGAAGGGAGACAGUGUUUGAAGUAAUAUCAGUGAAUGUAUCAGAGUACUCUCAGAGAAUUUUUCCAACGGAUAAGGAAAUAUUAUUUAAAUAAUACUAACUGUAAAAUUCACUCAUGAGUGAUUGAGAAAACAUGAGAAAUAUUGUUGAAAAUAUCAAGUCAAUAUAACAGCAGCAUUUCUUCUUUUAAAAGUGUUGUGGGUGGGAUUCACCUUGUUGAACUGGAGGUAGGAAUAUUUGAAAUAGAUGUCUAAGUUCCAUUGCUGUCAUUGGAGACUUAAUCAACUCAGUGAGUGAAAUCAAGGGCUAUCAAUACCUUUCAUUACCCAAAGUGAACCUACAGAAAAGCUGGAGAGUGACUCUUUAUCAGGUAGCAUUGUCAUAGGACAAGGGAUAGUUGCCUUCAACUAAACUAGAUUAGACAUUAGAAAGAAAUUCUUCACUAUGAGGACAGUGAGAUACUGAAAUAAAUUGUCCAUAGAAACUGUGGAUGCUCCAUCUCUGGGAGCAUUCAAACGUAGGUUGAGUGAAGCCCUUGGCAACUUGAUCUCAUGGAAGGUGACUGUGCUAUGGCAGGGAAUUAGAACUAGAUGAAUUUAAGUUCUCUUCCAAACCAUUUUAUGAUUCUAUGACUAAAUAUUGAUCCAAUCAAUAUUAAGGUUUUCAGAGGAGCUGAAAAUCAAUCCCAGUGACAAUAUUAUUCAUUGUGAUAGAACACAUUCACACACCGUAAUGCAGACAUCCAAAUUUGGGUAAGAAUAAUCAGAUUAGAAAAGUUAGCCUUUUUGCAGCAAUUCAUUAUAUAAUACGGAAUUAUUUUAUUUAUUUUUGUUACUAAUAAGAGUACUAGAUGUUUCACAAGCAUAGAUACUGGUCAAUUAUCUGAGCAAUAUCCAAUAUAUAAAUACACAAAGUUAGAAGGAAAUGAUCAAUGCCAGAGAGAAAUAAAAGUUAAAAUAAUACAUGCUUUUUCUUCUGUGUCUGAGAGAAUGUGAGUAGAUGUGAAAGUUGGAAAACCAAAAGAAUUAGUAGUAUGACAACAUUCCUUUUCUACCCUAGCAUUGUCAAAAGAUAACAAGAUUAAUUCUCUGCUGUAGUAUUUCACUACAGUAGUGUGUUAAUUUGAGGGGCUUGGCUGAGCCUUAUUCAGCAUAUAAUUAGAAUUUACUGAACUUUAAUUUCUUAUCAUCUUUAGGCUGCAUUAUCAAAGUGUUUAUAUUGAAACAUUCAAAUGUUCAGUUAAAAAUAAACUUCAGUUUGUCAAGGAUACAUUGUAUACAAAUUCUGUGGAAAUAUUUGAAUAAAAUUGUUCACUUUUGCUUUGUGAGAAAUGCUUUGCACUUUACAUAUUUAUAACAUAAUGUCAUUAGAGUAUGUAUCUUAGAAAUAUAGCAAUUUCCUGGUGAAUUUAUUGAAUAAAUGCUUAUCUAAUAAGUAAUUUGAGAGUAGAGAAAGAUCUAAUGAAAAGCUAAAUACACAGUGAAAUCCUAAUCAAGCAAUUGAAAUAGUUACUCAUGAUAAAACUAAGAUUAUCAGAGUAUCAGAACACAAAUUACUCCAUUAAUCUUUUGAAUUAGUCAGUUCUUAUUUUCUGAAGCUAAGUAACUUGGGAAGGUACACUCAAGGUUUCAUCUUUCUGAAGACUGUAUUUAUUACCUUUACUUUCAUAAAGAGUUCAUUAGAAAGAAUAUUACAGUGAAAUACGUUAACUUUUUAGCCUGUUUUAAUGAGGUCAUGUGAGUCUUUAAUUAUCUGACAUAAAACUGCUUAGUUUUACGUAGUAUCUACAGAUACUAAUUAGUAUCUACAUAUAUACAUUAGUAUCUACAUCAAUUAGUAUCUACAGAUAUUAACGGAUUCAUAUGUCAUAAAGCCAGAAGAAACGCUGUUAUUGAAUCUUAUAUGUGGCACAAUGCAGGCCACAGGACUUCACUGAAUUGAGUAGUUGUAAGAGAUUAUUCUUUUAUAUGAUUGACUCAAAGUUUGCUGAGGAACAAGUCCAGGCAAGUCCUGGGCAAAGGUACAGAAAUCUUCUGUCUGGAGGACACUGAUGGACAGGUCCUGGCUAAAGGAUUGUGAAGUCCUUUAAGGAGCACAGAUGGACGAGGCCAGGGGCAACGAGAGAGGGAUAAGCUGCUGAUAAUGGCUGAGAAAUGGUCUUUUGUGUGGACUUAUCUAGAAGAAGAUGGCCAUCUCAGGAGCUACGCACAUGACUCUUGCUCAAGCACCCAGGGAUGUCACGUAGGCAGGAAAAAGAGGAGGAUAAAAGAGGGUCUAACAACCAUGAGGAGAGGGUUUCUGCCAUCAGAUCCCUCACCACGACGGACUCAAGGUUUCUGCCAUCAGAUCCUUCACUACGGACCAUAUGCUGAUGGACUUCCCUGGGCCUGCUACCUGAGACCUGCUGCUUCCUCCCAGACUUACUCUGCGGCUUCUUCCUGGACCCACCCGGUACCUGCACCCUCUCGUUGCCCAAGACCGGCCUCGCUGCUCCUGCCCUUCAGCCUCGGACCAUCAGAACAUCGUGCAACAGGACUACUGCUGGUGGUGACUAUCCCCGCUUUAUGCAAUUCUUGCUUCUUUCUAUCUUUUCUAUCGCUCGCCUUCCCUUUCCCAUCACCCCAAUCCAUAAUAGUGUCCGUCCUCCCCUUUCUUCAUCUCCCUUAUUAACAUAUGUAAUAAACUGGUCGGACCAACAUUUGAACCGUUGUUUCUUAAUCUCACGCCGGGCAUACAUAUUUCAAAGAACCUCCUCUCCCUCCUAUAAAUUGGAGUGAGACAGUAGUACAUUAUGUCUAAGUAAAUGUGAUUAAAAUGGAGUAUAUUAAAAUGGAGCAUACAUUUUUUAUACAUUCUUGACUUUAAAUAUACACAAUGUUAGAGAAUUCAUUACGGUCUUUCACAGGUUGCCUCAAUAGUUAGUAAAACAUAUAGCAUGCUGACUGUUCAUCAUUUUAGCAUCUUUCUUGGAAUGUUAUACAAAUCUCAACAUAUAUAAAAAUAGUUUUUAUGUCAUCUUUAUCAAUAACAUUUGAAAUAUCAUAAAACUGAAAGAGCAGAUAGUUUUACAAGAUGUGUUUACAGUAAAUCCACAGUAACUUUGGUUAUUAUAUUAAUGCACAUUUGUUAUAUGUAUCUACAGCUAACACAAAUUACUGUGGAAUUAUGAUAUUAGCUGUCCUGAUAUUUUGCUUGAAAGAGAUAAGUAACUACCCUCCUUGAAUUACUUGAAUCACCCUCUUAAAACCUAAGAAAUAUUAGCACAGAAUUAACAGAUAAAUUAAUCUGUACUGUUUUGGAAGUUUUUAAGGUUGUCAAGACCAAACACUGUAAAUAUGGCCUAGAAAUUCUUUUCAAAAGCACUUCAAAAGCACUUAGAUAUGUUUUACGUAGACAAUUUGAAAUAUAUUUAUACUUAUGUGAUUGCAGUCACUUUUAUCCUAAGACUAAAAUACCAUACAUUCUUCAGUUAUAAUAGAAUAUUUCACAUGAAGGGUUCUACAGAGAUCAUCAAGUCCAACUGCCUGACAACUUCAGAGGUAACCACAAGUUAAGCGUAUUACUGAGGGCAUUAUCCAAAUGCAUCUCAAGUAAUAUUAGGCAUGGGACAUCAGUCAUCUCAUUGCAGUGAGAUAAAAGCCUGUUCCACUGUUUGAUGAUAAAUAAAUGUCCAGUAUAGUCUGAAACUCCCCUGGCACAGCACAGCUGUGUGCCACUCCUGUGCAACCUGCAAUCAGCACAGAAGAUACCAGGGAGCAGAGACCAGCACCUCCCUCUGUACUUCCUCUCCUCAAGGAGCUGCAGAGAGCAGUAAAGUCAUCUUGUAGACUCCUAUUCUCCAGGCUAGACAGUCCAAGAGUCCUCACCCUUUCCUUACUAGACAUGUCUUCCAUUCUGAUUACCUGCUUUGUUGCCAUUGUCUGGACACUUUUAGAUAUCUUAAUAAUGUUUUUAUGUUGUGGGGCAUACAUUAUUCAAGGUGAGGUUGCACCAACUCCAAAUAUAUCAGGACAAUCACCCCAAAAAGCAGUUUGCCCUUUUGGCAACCAACACUGCUGGUUCAUACUGAGCCUGCUAUCAUCAGCCCUCCUAGAUCAAUUUGUUCUGAGCUGCUCUCCAGCCAUUCAUCUCUCAGUUUGUGUCAUCUCUCAGGUACUGUGCCAGGCAUAGUACCUGACAUUUACCUUUGUUGAACUUCACGCCACUGUUUCCCCAGUGCUCCAAUCCAUCCACAUUGCUCUACAAGACCUCAGCAACACAACUGACCAUCUACUAGCCAAAUGGGUCUCCAUCACUACAACACUUUGAGUUCUACCAUUGAGCCAGUUUAUCACCCUGCAUAGUGUGAACAUACUUAUCUCACAGUUGGACAAUUUGUACAGAAAGUUGCCAUGAAGGAUCAUAUCAAAGGCUUUACUGAAUUCUAGAAAGAUGACGUACGCUGCCUUCCUUCAUCCACCAAGUGGGUAAUCUUAUAAAAAGAAAUCAAAGCAAUGAAGACAGGGCUUUCCCUUCAUGAACCCAUAUUGACUAUGCCUGACAAUGGCUUUGUCCUUCAAGUGCCUUUCAGUAACACUCACUAUAAUCUUCUCCAUAAAUUUUUAGGGUACUGAAGUUAGGUUAACAAGUCUGUUACAGAUUUGUUACUUUUGUUACUUUGUUUUCAGUAAGUUCUUUCUCUUUAUUUUUUGUUUGUUUGUUUAUUUUACUUUGUUUUGGGAAGAGGAGAGCUUGUGGUGGGGAGUGGGGUUUUGUCAUCUACGUAGUGCUAUUGAAGAUAAUACUACUUUUUUAUAUUUAAACAUUUGAUCCUCAGAAAGUUUCAUCCUAUUCUUUCAUGUUUACGAGAUUUUUCUCUCUUCAAACACUUUUUUUCUUUGUAUGAACAUUUGCAAAUGAGUGUGUACAUGCAUAUCAAUGACCAUGAGUACAUGGGGCUUAUCUGUUCCUCAAAAAUAUGACUUGGUCAAAAUUACUUUUGCAUAAAGAACAACUGAAUUUCAGCAACGUAAUCCUUUCCUACUCAUAAGUCUUAAAUUAAUGUGCAAAAUUGAAUUAAUCAGCAUAUUUAAUUACAAUUUUUUUGUUAAACUUAUUUAUCUGUGAAGGUGUUAUGUAUAAUUUUUGAAAGUUAAUGGAUACAUUAUUAAGCAAAGAGUAACAGCUCCAACAAACCAGAAUUAUUUAAGUCUCUGAGGAAAACUAAGAUUUCCCUUCUGAUUCAUCUUUAAAAUCCUGUUUUCAACAUCUUUGCAAAGUUAAUUUUAGUUUUUUAAAAGCCAGGUAACUUAAAAUAAUUUUUCUGCCCUUCAUUCCUCUUUUGUUUAUCGUGUUUUUCAGAAUGUUGUUCCAUUAGUGACUUUGAAGUCAGUGAUGUUAGAUCAAAUUAUUCAAAUUACUAGCUUUUGUUGUUGCUGGUGCUGUUUUGUGGGUUUUUUUUCUUUUGUUUUGUUUUGUUUUGAUUUUCCUCUUAUGAAUGUAAUUUACUGGUGUAGUGGUUAUUAGAACAGAACUUCACAGUGUUUGUGUUUUGUCUUAAUUAUAAGUAAUUUUAUAUCACUAAUAUUAUCAGUAAACUUGUUUGUGUAUAUUUUACUCAAUGAAAUGUUAAUGCCAAACUUUGAACAGAAACUGUACUGACUACUUCUAUCUUAAAACAGACAGUACCAGUAGCUGAUUGUUUUACUUUUGUUUCCUUUCAUCAAACAACUCUAUUCAGAAGGUGAAAAUUUCCUUUUCUUCUUUUUGAUGGAAUUUCUUUUCAUUUCUCCCCUUUCUUUUCAUAGUUUUACAAACGGUCAGUUACACAGUUUAUUACAAAAUAUGUUGAGGCACAUGCCUAGAAGGUGUGUUGAAUGGCAUACUCCAUCUACUUGUGGCAUCUAUGCAUAUUAAGUUGUUAAAAGCAUGUUUGUCAAACUUAUAUGACAGUUUUAGCAAUUGUAAAAACGCAUAUUUGCUAUGCUAUGCUAGAAGAAGAGGAAGAAAAAGAAGAAGAGAAGUGAAAAAAGAGAGGAGAGGAGAGGAGAGGAGAGGAGAGGAGAGGAGAGGAGAGGAGAG